rnacentral:sRNA from 1 species
AACAGAGCUUGGUAAGAACCAA